ensembl:misc_RNA 7SK 7SK RNA
GGUUGCCUUCUUCCUUCCUCUCAAAUCCACGUACAUCCCUCCCCAGACUGUGCAGUCAGUUGAAGAAGACAAUCUUCUCUGAUUGAAGAGAAUUGUUCUUCAGUCAAAGGUACAUGUGUAGCUGUGCUUGCUUGCUAGAACCUCUAAUCAAGUGCUUAGAGCCCCUUUCACUCUUAUCUUUCAUCUGCUGACCAGAGGCAGAAGACUCUGGAA